rnacentral:rRNA from 1 species
AACGAACGCUGGCGGCAUGCCUAACACAUGCAAGUCGAACGAAGGCUUCGGCCUUAGUGGCGCACGGGUGCGUAACGCGUGGGAAUCUGCCCUUUGGUUCGGAAUAACAGCUGGAAACGGCUGCUAAUACCGGAUGAUGACGAAAGCCCAAAGAUUUAUCGCCAGAGGAUGAGCCCGCGUUGGAUUAGGUAGUUGGUGGGGUAAAGGCCUACCAAGCCGACGAUCCAUAGCUGGUCUGAGAGGAUGAUCAGCCACACUGGGACUGAGACACGGCCCAGACUCCUACGGGAGGCAGCAGUGGGGAAUAUUGGACAAUGGGCGCAAGCCUGAUCCAGCAAUGCCGCGUGAGUGACGAAGGCCCUAGGGUUGUAAAGCUCUUUUACCCGGGAAGAUAAUGACUGUACCGGGAGAAUAAGCCCCGGCUAACUCCGUG